rnacentral:rRNA from 1 species
AUUGAACGCUGGCGGCAGGCUUAACACAUGCAAGUCGAACGAUGAUUAUCUAGCUUGCUAGAUAUGAUUAGUGGCGGACGGGUGAGUAACAUUUAGGAAUCUGCCUAGUAGUGGGGGAUAGCUCGGGGAAACUCGAAUUAAUACCGCAUACGACCUACGGGUGAAAGGGGGCGCAAGCUCUUGCUAUUAGAUGAGCCUAAAUCAGAUUAGCUAGUUGGUGGGGUAAAGGCCCACCAAGGCGACGAUCUGUAACUGGUCUGAGAGGAUGAUCAGUCACACCGGAACUGAGACACGGUCCGGACUCCUACGGGAGGCAGCAGUGGGGAAUAUUGGACAAUGGGGGCAACCCUGAUCCAGCCAUGCCGCGUGUGUGAAGAAGGCCUUUUGGUUGUAAAGCACUUUAAGCAGGGAGGAGAGGCUAAUGGUUAAUACCCAUUAGAUUAGACGUUACCUGCAGAAUAAGCACCGGCUAACCCUGUGCCAGCAGCCGCGGUAAUACAGAGGGUGCGAGCGUUAAUCGGAAUUACUGGGCGUAAAGCGAGUGUAGGUGGCUCAUUAAGUCACAUGUGAAAUCCCCGGGCUUAACCUGGGAACUGCAUGUGAUACUGGUGGUGCUAGAAUAUGUGAGAGGGAAGUAGAAUUCCAGGUGUAGCGGUGAAAUGCGUAGAGAUCUGGAGGAAUACCGAUGGCGAAGGCAGCUUCCUGGCAUAAUAUUGACACUGAGAUUCGAAAGCGUGGGUAGCAAACAGGAUUAGAUACCCUGGUAGUCCACGCCGUAAACGAUGUCUACUAGCCGUUGGGGUCCUUGAGACUUUAGUGGCGCAGUUAACGCGAUAAGUAGACCGCCUGGGGAGUACGGCCGCAAGGUUAAAACUCAAAUGAAUUGACGGGGGCCCGCACAAGCGGUGGAGCAUGUAGUUUAAUUCGAUGCAACGCGAAGAACCUUACCUGGUCUUGACAUAGUGAGAAUCCUGCAGAGAUGCGGGAGUGCCUUCGGGAAUUCACAUACAGGUGCUGCAUGGCUGUCGUCAGCUCGUGUCGUGAGAUGUUGGGUUAAGUCCCGCAACGAGCGCAACCCUUUUCCUUAUUUGCCAGCGGGUUAAGCCGGGAACUUUAAGGAUACUGCCAGUGACAAACUGGAGGAAGGCGGGGACGACGUCAAGUCAUCAUGGCCCUUACGACCAGGGCUACACACGUGCUACAAUGGUAGGUACAGAGGGUUGCUACCUCGCGAGAGGAUGCUAAUCUCAAAAAGCCGAUCGUAGUCCGGAUUGGAGUCUGCAACUCGACUCCAUGAAGUCGGAAUCGCUAGUAAUCGCGGAUCAGAAUGCCGCGGUGAAUACGUUCCCGGGCCU